ACCUGGAUAGCUCAGUGGUAGAGCAUAUCAGACUUUCAAUCUGAGAAUCCAGUGUUCAAAUCCCUGUUCAGGCA